UGAUCAUGGCUCAGAUUGAACGCUGGCGGCAGGCCUAACACAUGCAAGUCGAGCGGCAGCACAGAGGAACUUGUUCCUUGGGUGGCGAGCGGCGGACGGGUGAGUAAUGCCUGGGAAAUUGCCCGGUAGAGGGGGAUAACCAUUGGAAACGAUGGCUAAUACCGCAUAACCUCGCAAGAGCAAAGCAGGGGACCUUCGGGCCUUGCGCUACCGGAUAUGCCCAGGUGGGAUUAGCUAGUUGGUGAGGUAAGGGCUCACCAAGGCGACGAUCCCUAGCUGGUCUGAGAGGAUGAUCAGCCACACUGGAACUGAGACACGGUCCAGACUCCUACGGGAGGCAGCAGUGGGGAAUAUUGCACAAUGGGCGCAAGCCUGAUGCAGCCAUGCCGCGUGUAUGAAGAAGGCCUUCGGG
rnacentral:rRNA from 1 species